rnacentral:rRNA from 1 species
UACGUAGGUGGCAAGCGUUGUCCGGAAUUAUUGGGCGUAAAGCGCGCGCAGGCGGUCCUUUAAGUCUGAUGUGAAAGCCCACGGCUCAACCGUGGAGGGUCAUUGGAAACUGGGGGACUUGAGUGCAGAAGAGGAAAGCGGAAUUCCACGUGUAGCGGUGAAAUGCGUAGAGAUGUGGAGGAACACCAGUGGCGAAGGCGGCUUUCUGGUCCGUAACUGACGCUGAGGCGCGAAAGCGUGGGGAGCAAACAGG